rnacentral:rRNA from 1 species
AUUGAACGCUGGCGGCAGGCCUAACACAUGCAAGUCGAACGAGGGGCGGACGGGUGAGUAAUGUCUGGGAAACUGCCUGAUGGAGGGGGUUAACAACUGGAAACGGUAGCUAAUACCGCAUACCAUCAACGUUGCCCAGAUGGGAUUAGCUAGUAGGUGGGGUAAUGGCUCACCUAGGCGACGAUCCCUAGCUGGUCUGAGAGGAUGCCCCGCCACACUGGAACUGAGACACGGUCCAGACUCCUACGGGAGGCAGCAGUGGGGAAUAUUGCACAAUGGGCGCAAGCCUGAUGCAGCCAUGCCGCGUGUGUGAAGAAGGCCUUCGGGUUGUAAAGCACUUUCAGCGGGGAGGCGUUACCCGCAGAAGAAGCACCGGCUAACUCCGUGCCAGCAGCCGCGGUAAUUC